CGUUACUCCACCGCUACAUGCUAACUAGCCGGACCUCUUUAAUUAGAAGCGCUGUGAAGCGGCUGUCAGCCACUGAGCUGUCGGGUCCUCUUGACAAAAAGUUAGCACAUCUAGCAGCAGAUCCUGCUUCUGAUCAGCUCUGUGUGCAAUGAAGAGGAAAUUAUGGAGCAGCACUUGAUUUGACUAAUGAGUCCUUCUCUUCCACUCAGGCAGCCAGAAAUCCCAGCCUCGAAGGCGCGAUGGCGUCCCCCUUUUUCCUCGGCCUAACGGGAUUAGUCGUGCCAGUGCUACCCCGGCUGUCACGAGGUGCAGCAGGAUCUGCAGUCUGUGAUGUUGCCUCAGGGGGAGAUUAGGAGGGGCAGCCGGCCCUCUGUGUCACGUCGACAGUCACAGCGCCCAUCCACGGCUGGGCCAAACCCCACUGGGACCUUAAAUCCUGUUACACUGUCAGCUAAAACCAUCAUUUGUAUUAGAGAUGUGUGGGUGUUUAAGUGUGUGUACAUAUUAAGUGAGGGGGGAUAGUGUCUUAAACUAUGAAUUAUUCAUACCAAAAAGAAAAGGAGAUAUUGACUACAUCUCCAUAAACAGACUGCUCUCUUUAUGUCAUCAGGCACGAGAUCUUUGGGUAUAAUUGCAUAAAAGCCCCUGAAAAUGUGCUUCUCCAACGGCACAGCAGGCACUGGUCAAUGUUAUCAUCGGGGAUGAACUUGAGUGAUGGCAAUUGUUCCAACUUAAUAUCUUAUAAAUAAUUUACUAUUUCAGGGGCAUUGCUCUCCCUCCGUAUCAAACAUGAACGUUAAGCAGCUUUACCAACCCCACAGCUGUAUGCUAGUUACCGAACACAUGAAGCUGAAUUAGUCCGUCUCCAAAACACAGACAUGGACGUGAUGAUACAUGAACCUCAUCAUAAGUGGCUAUAAAUGUAUAUUUUUUUUUUCGUCUAGCUUGGGACUAUAGUGCACAGAAUGUAAUAGAGUUGUUGUAAUGUGAGUGGGCUAUUUCCCUCCAUUAUUUAUCUCAGUAACAAGUGAUUAUGGAGAAUGAGAUUCUUUGCACUUCUGGCCCGCGCCUCCAGAGGGAGGUCAAAACUAUUUGUCAGUCUCCAGUUGGGAUUGCAAAUUAGGAUGAGCCUCCCUGCGUGACGACCCACGAAACCUCUAUUCCUAUCCACAGGGUGACUGCUGUACAUAAUUUGAAAAUUAGGGCCUUUGAUAACAUCUAUAUGUGAAGCAAUACAUCAAGCUGCCACCGCCAUGCAGCCUCUCUGCGCCUGUGAGAGGCUGCAUUUGAGACAUAAUUCCUUUUAAAUCACUACACUACGCAUUUUUUUUGGUUUGUUUUGCCUAUUUCAUUCGUGAGCUUUCGCGAGUAUAAUAGCGCCUUUUUAACUUCGACGAAAACACGUCAUUAACUUAUUAGCUGAUUAAGAGCCACGGAGUAAAAAGCGAUAGAUUUGUAUUUACAGGUUUCAGGGAGUGCAGCAAAGAAUGAGAAAACUGGUUAAUGGCUAUUUGCUGACAGGAAAUGAAUGGAUGUGAAUGAAAAUGGCCCUCGCAGAUACAGCAGUCAUUCUGGACAGAUAUUUUGUCUCGUUAAAGGGUUUAACUGCUCCUAAUUUGUACCUACUUUAAUGGCGCGGGUCCUAAUUACGGGUCUGGCCUUUUAUGGAAGAUUAGCGGUGUGAAGCUGAGCACAUUAGGGCCUCUUUUAUGAGCAGAAAACAGAUAGCAUCACACCGCUAUCCGCAGGGGCGACUCCGAUAAAAGAUGGUGAUAUAAACUCGAAUAGACGACACACAAAAAAAGGAGCAGGAUAAAGCCAGGACUGGUGUCGCUCUCGGCCCCGGUGCGUGGAGUGUCUGGAGCACAUCAUGUACCUGCAGCAGACCCGCCAGCCUCCAGCAGGUCAGUGUGUUUGUUCGGUGUGGUGCGGUGUGGAGCAGGAGCGUCAUCUGGUGGCAAAGAGGUAGAGCUAAAGGCAGGUGAUUAACAUCCACUGCAAGAACAUGCUGAGGACAAUUUUAACGUUGGAUUCAGAAUUUAGUGUAGUUUUUUUUUUGUUUUUGUUUUUUUGAUUAAUAGUGAGAAGAACAGCAUACAGCCUACAGUAUUAUUUGUGUACAGUAAAAUAUCCAAAGGGAGCCAUUAAAGCUCCUAAUUCACACGGAGGAAUGGAUUGUGUCUUGGAUUUAAAAUGCCUGGUAAAGAACGAAUCUUUUUGUUGUUGUUGUUUCCAUAAAGAUGGCUAGAAAUUGUUUCCAGGUGUCCUUAAAACUAUCCAGUGGUGUCACAUGUAUCAAGUCAGGUCAUACGCAUGUAAUGUAAACGUAACUGUGGUUUGAAUAGAUGCAUAGAUCUCAUAAUUGGGCUAAAAGAAGUGCUUAAGCAAAGAUUUGAAUAGAAGGACAUACAAGAGGAAGAAAGAAAAAAAUAAUAAUCUGACUCUUUUCUGUACAGUAUAAAGCCUGUUUCACAUAAUUGCCAAACGUGCAGCAUUUGUCAAGAAUGAAGCAGACGACAACAGAGAUCAUGUUUGAUGGUGAUAGCAGGAGGAGAAUCGCAGUGGUUUCCUCGAGUACUUUGGAGAUGCCAUCGGUGUCGUUUUAAUCUGAGUUUGACUUGCAACCUGAUACCGUGAUACUGAUACUUUCGUAAAUGUACUCACAUUACAUUCCAGCACUGCCCUUUAAUAAUACUCCUCAACCCCUUGGUAGCAAAUACACUGGGUGGUCAAAAAGCUGCAGGUCAAAGUGGAGACACUGAUAUUGGAUAUUGAACUAAAUUAAAACAUUUAUAACCGGUGAGUUGGAUUUGACCAGUUUAUUUGAAUUUCACUGCUCAACACUGAAUGUUUCAAUUAAAGUCAUGUGUUAGCAGAACCACUGACUGAUCAUGUAACCAGAACAUUUUAUCCUUAUAAGUUUUUGCUGUAACAAAAUGUGUCUUAUGUACAUUACUUCAGGUGCCAUCAUCACAAUUAAGGCAAAACUCUCAUCUCACCAUUUGUUGUUUUUUUUUUUACUAUGAAUACAGUCAGUCAUUUUCAGUAUCAACAUGUAUACAAAAGUUACAAAACAAAUAAAAAAAACCUUAUCUCA